GACGAACGCUGGCGGCGUGCCUAAUACAUGCAAGUAGAACGCUGAAGGAGGAGCUUGCUUCUCUGGAUGAGUUGCGAACGGGUGAGUAACGCGUAGGUAACCUGCCUGGUAGCGGGGGAUAACUAUUGGAAACGAUAGCUAAUACCGCAUAAGAGUAGAUGUUGCAUGACAUUUGCUUAAAAGGUGCAAUUGCAUCACUACCAGAUGGACCUGCGUUGUAUUAGCUAGUUGGUGGGGUAACGGCUCACCAAGGCGACGAUACAUAGCCGACCUGAGAGGGGGAUCGGCCACACUGGGACUGGGACACGGCCCAGACUCCUACGGGAGGCAGCAGUAGGGAAUCUUCGGCAAUGGACGGAAGUCUGACCGAGCAACGCCGCGGGAGUGAAGAAGGUUUUCGGAUCGUAAAGCUCUGUUGUAAGAGAAGAACGAGUGUGAGAGUGGAAAGUUCACACUGUGACGGUAUCUUACCAGAAAGGGACGGCUAACUACGUG
rnacentral:rRNA from 1 species